GUUGACCUCGGAUCAGGUAAGA
rnacentral:rRNA from 1 species